AUCACGUCGCCCACAUCAAACAUCCAUGAUGUAUGUGGGCGGAGACUGGUCUCCCGUGCCCAUACGGUGCGGUUGGCCCAAAUACGAGUCCGCUUAAGAGUGACGCACGACUGGUGGUGGUUGAUUACACAGUCGUCUCGUGCCGUGCGUCUCGAUUCUUGACGGUAUAGCUCUUGUAGUACCCUAACGCGUCGUCUUGUGACGGCUCUUCGAUC
rnacentral:rRNA from 1 species